AGUGAACGCUGGCGGCGUGCCUAAUACAUGCAAGUCGAACGGUAACAGGAAGUAGCUUGCUACUUUGCUGUUUAGUGGCGCACGGGUGAGUAAUGCAUAGGUCAUGUGCCCCAUAGUCUGGGAUAGCCACUGGAAACGGUGAUUAAUACUGGAUACUCUCGAGAGGGGAAAGUUUUUCGCUAUGGGAUCAGCCUAUGUCCUAUCAGCUUGUUGGUGAGGUAAUGGCUCACCAAGGCUAUGACGGGUAUCCGGCCGGAGAGGGUGAACGGACACACUGGAACUGAGACACGGUCCAGACUCCUACGGGAGGCAGCAGUAGGGAAUAUUGCUCAAUGGGGGAAACCCUGAAGCAGCAACGCCGCGUGGAGGAUGAAGGUCGUCGGAUUGUAAACUCCUUUUCUAAGAGAAGAUUAUGACGGUAUCUUAGGAAUAAGCACCGGCUAACUCCGUG
rnacentral:rRNA from 1 species